CCUACGGGAGGCAGCAGUGGGGGAUAUUGCACAAUGGGGGGAACCCUGAUGCAGCGACGCCGCGUGGGUGAAGAAGCGCCUCGGCGCGUAAAGCCCUGUUAGCAGGGAAGAAAAUGACGGUACCUGAAGAAGAAGCUCCGGCUAACUACGUGCCAGCAGCGGCGGGAAUACGGAGGGGGCAAGCGUUAUCCGGAUUUACUGGGUGUAAAGGGGGCGCAGACGGCGAUGCAAGCCAGGAGUGAAAGCCCGGGGCCCAACCGCGGGACUGCUCUUGAAACUGCGUGGCGGGAGUGCAGGAGGGGCAGGCGGAAUUCCGGGUGUAGCGGUGAAAUGCGUAGAUAUCAAGAAGAA
rnacentral:rRNA from 1 species